rnacentral:lncRNA from 1 species
GUAAGGAAGAAGGGAGACACAGGGAACUCGGCCGAGCAGGGAAGAGGGCUGCAGAGUCAGGAACACAGGCCUGGGAGAGUGUUGUGAGGGGUCAUGCGGGACGUGGCUGCAGGAGGGACCACCUUGGCUCGGGGCCUCAGGGACCAGUGGUCUGCGCGCCGACCGGAAAGUACCGGAGGGGAUCUCGCGGCUGGCAGGCCCAGGGUUCCUGGGCCUGGUCUGGAGUCGGGUCGCUGCGCCAGGGUCUUGGGCCGAGCGGCGCGCCUGCGAUCAUGCGUAGUCCUGCUUUCACUGGGCGUUUAUGGAGUACUCCGACCCAGGUGCUGUUUUCAGAGCAGGGGCCACAGCAGGAACAAGUCUGAGGUCCCUCCGGGGAGGACAGACGGUAGACAAAUAAGGAAUUGCAGUAGCAAGGUAGUGCUUCCUGACUGUGGUACCUUAUAUGAAGAGAACUAAAACAGGCUCACGUGAUCACGCCUCUCACUGUGCAACCCAGGCUGCCCUUGAACUCAUGGUGAUCCCCUCCUGCCUCAGCCUCCCAAGUGCUAAGAUUACAGGUAUGCCUGCCUUGCCUUUUGAAGAACAUGCUGGCAGCUGAGUGGAGAUUGGGUUGUAGCAGGAAUAGGAGUAAAGGCGGCUCCUGGCUUGGGGUGAUCAGUGGGCCAGAUGGGAAAGGCUGAGGGGCAAGCAGGCUUGGGGUGCCACUCUGAAGGCAGAGGCCUGAGCCCCCCAGAGGCCUGCUCUUGCCUUAAGUCUGGUCCCUCUUUCCUACACUUCCUCCACCCAGGUCUCUUACACCCCUUAGAGAUCAUCCUUCUCCACUCCUGGCCUUUGCUGACCUUGGGGAGCUGUGAUAAUUCAGUCUGGUGUGGAAGGGACAAGAGAUCUCACCUCAGGGGUGCUCUGAGGUGUUAGUCAGUGCUGGUCUUUGGAAGCCAGAGCAGAACCUGGGCACUGAGGGACAUCUCAGCAAAGUUGGUGAUGCUCGCUGGGAAUCUGAACUCACCUGUGGUCUAGGCACCGUGCUGGGUGAUGCUGGGGCCCCUGCUUGGGUGAGACCCUGAUCCUGUUUUCAAGAGCUCCCAGGCUGAGAUGGUCCAGCUUGGGAUUCACAUGUGUGAUGACAGAUGUCAUGUUGUGGGAGGCACUGUGGGAGCCCAGGGGUGGCCAGCCUGGAGGAGCUGAGCUUGAGCUGAGACUCAGGAAGUUCAGGGUUGAGCCCCUGAGAGAGGGGAUUUAUCCAGCUCAUGCUUCCAGAGAUCAGCUGGGGGCCAGAGAAGAGUCAGGCCCCUCCCUUCCCUCUGGAGGCCCCGUCUGGUGAGGGAGGCAGACAGGCAGCCAGUCCACAGGCAGCGCAGUCAGAGAGGCCCAGAGAAGGAAGCCCAAGGCCAGAGUGGGAGAGUACACAGGUGUCUGUAGGAUGCACGUGGGUAGUUUCACUGUGAUCAUUUAAUUGUGCCUGUUGAGCCCCUCUGUCCCAGCGGGUUCUCCUAGGUACAGGAGCUGUCUCAGGAAGCCAGAGACAAAUCCCUGCUGUCACAGAGCUCCUGUCCUAGUAGUGGAGACAAAUGGUGAGGAAGAUAAGUGAGCGGUGCUCCUUGGGCCUGAGUGGGUUGGAAUUCUGGGAGCUUGUUCUUUUUUUUUUGGUACCAGGGAUCGAACUUAGGAUCUUGCGCUUUCGAGGCAGGUGCCGGAACCACUGAGCUAAAUCCCUGGCCUGGUCUGACCUGUUUGUACAGAAUCCCUCUGGCUGCCAUAGGUGAGGACAGGGAAGACACUGAUCUCUCCAGCCCUCUCUGCACCUGGCCUGGCAGAGGCUCCCU